rnacentral:rRNA from 1 species
CAUAUUAUAGAGCUUAAAUCAUAAAAUUUAAUUUAAAAUUAUUACUUUCAAAUCCAUUUUCAUAUACAAAUUUCAAUAUAUAAUCCAUUUAAAUAAAUUUAUUGUAACCCAUUUCUUCUUAUUUAUAAACUGCACCUUGAUCUGAUUUAAUUUAAAAUUAUAAAUUAUGAAUAUUAAAUUCUUCUAAAAUAUUCAACUACGACGAUAUACAAGCUAAUUAAAAUAAGUAAAAUAAAUCGUGGAUUAUCGAUUACAGAACAGGUUCCUCUGAAUAGACUAAAAUACCGCCAAAAUCUUUAAUUUUAAAGUUCAUAACUAAUAAUAAUUUAAUACAAUCUUUUUACAUUUCU